UAAUGUCUGGGAAACUGCCUGAUGGAGGGGGAUAACUACUGGAAACGGUAGCUAAUACCGCAUAAUGUCGCAAGACCAAAGUGGGGGGACUUCGGGCCUCAUGCCAUCAGAUGUGCCCAGAUGGGAUUAGCUAGUAGGUGGGGUAACGGCUCACCUAGGCGACGAUCCCUAGCUGGUCUGAGAGGAUGACCAGCCACACUGGAACUGAGACACGGUCCAG
rnacentral:rRNA from 1 species